UACGGAGGGUGCAAGCGUUGUUCGGAAUUACUGGGCGUAAAGCGCACGUAGGCGGGUUUACAAGUCGAUUGUGAAAGCCCCGGGCUCAAUCCGGGAACGGCAGUCGAAACUGUAAGUCUUGAAUACCUGAGAGGGUGACGGAAUUCCUGGUGUAGAAGUGAAAUUCGUAGAUAUCAGGAGGAACACCGGAGGCGAAGGCGGUUGCCUGGCAGUGUAUUGACGCUGAGGUGCGAAAGCGUGGGAGCAAACAGG
rnacentral:rRNA from 1 species